rnacentral:rRNA from 1 species
GAUCAUGGCUCAGGAUGAACGCUAGCGGCAGGCCUAACACAUGCAAGUCGAGGGGCAUCACGAGGUAGCAAUACUUUGGUGGCGACCGGCGCACGGGUGCGUAACGCGUAUGUAACCUACCUAUAACAGGGGCAUAACACUGAGAAAUUGGUACUAAUUCCCCAUAAUAUUCGGAGAGGCAUCUCUCCGGGUUGAAAACUCCGGUGGUUAUAAAUGGACAUGCGUUGUAUUAGCUAGUUGGUGAGG